rnacentral:rRNA from 1 species
AUUGAACGCUGGCGGCAGGCCUAACACAUGCAAGUCGAACGAGUGGCGGACGGGUGAGUAAUGUCUGGGAAACUGCCUGAUGGAGGGGGCUAACUACUGGAAACGGUAGCUAAUACCGCAUACCAUCGGAUGUGCCCAGAUGGGAUUAGCUAGUAGGUGGGGUAACGGCUCACCUAGGCGACGAUCCCUAGCUGGUCUGAGAGGAUGACCAGCAACACUGGAACUUAGACACGGUCCAGACUCCGACGGGAGGCAGCAGUGGGAAAUAUUGCACAAUGGGCGCAAGCCGGAGGCAGCCAUGCCGGGUGUAUGAAGAAGGCCUUCGGGUUGUAAAGUACUUUCAUCGGGGAGGCGUUACCCGCAGAAGAAGCACCGGCUAACUCCGUGCCAGCAGCCUCGGUAAUAC